rnacentral:lncRNA from 1 species
AGAGGAGGAGGAGGAGGAGAGGGGAAGGGGAAGAAAAGCUGCUGCUCCAGAUGCACUAAGAAGCGUCCCUGCUGGUUCUCCAUUCUGCAUCCGUGCAGCCACGUUCUAUUGAUGGCCUGUUGUGAUUUCAAUGGAACAUCAUGGGAUGUACCUGGCACGUCGGGCAGCACUGGAUGGAGGUGCCUUUAGCCCAAUGUACCUGGCAUGCACUGUUAGUUCAUUGUUCAGGUGCUUGGUGUCUAGCCUUCUCAUCCAUCCACAAAUCCUCUAC